AUUCUCUGGUGGAUUACCUGCCGGCGGUAUGUAAGAGAAGCUGUGAAGAAGCCUUUGAAAAUGCUGUGGAUGUAUCUGUCCUAGCAUUGUCCUUUUCAAAAAGUAGUGGGAUGACUAAUGACGUCCCACCUCCCUCUGUUCCCCAUACCACUUUGUUCAUUUAACUACUAAGUCCUUAAACCCCUGAAUUGCGUUUGUUUGGGUAGCCUCUCUCCCAUUUAAUGAAGGGCAGAAAGGUGUCAAUCUUUGCAAUCCCUGAACCCAGUACAGAGCCUGACACAAGGUAACUGAAACCACGGAAAGUGAAACCGCGGAUAAGGGGGGGACUACAGUAUCAUCAAAUAAUGGAAGAAUCUGGUGACAAAUCCAUCUAAAAGAGAAAUGUGAAUGGUCAUCUGCAUCCACUCUGCCCCCGAAUUUGGGAUCCAUCCAUAUGCUUCUCACCUGUAAGACUGUAGAAUGUCAAUGAUCC